ensembl:lncRNA
UUUCAUCAUUCCGGUUGUUGCUCCUAGAGUAUUGUUGGUUUGAGAAAUGCCUCCCUGUCCCUUGCGCGGGAGCCUUCCGCCCAGGUGAAGGUGGGCCUUGUUGCCUUGGCGACAGCGAGUGGGGCUGAGCGGCUGCUCCGACAGCCAAUAGCAGCCUGGAGGGGCGGGGCCAGCUGGGGCCUGCGCGUCAGCGGCGGGGCUCGCAGGUGUCCGGUCUGGCCGGCCGCCCAGCCCGAUAAGCAUGCAGCUGCUGUGUUUGGUGGCCGUGGUCGGCUGUUUGCUGGUGCCCCCGGCUCAAGGCAACAAGAGUUCUGAAGAUAUCCGGUGCAAAUGCAUCUGUCCGCCGUACAGGAACAUCAGUGGACACAUUUACAACCAGAAUGUGUCGCAGAAGGACUGCAACUGCCUGCACGUGGUUGACCCCAUGCCUGUGCCCGGCCAUGACGUGGAGGCCUACUGCUUGCUGUGCGAGUGCAGGUACGAGGAGCGCAGCACCACCACCAUCAAGGUCAUCAUUGUCAUCUACCUGUCGGUGGUGGGGGCCCUCCUGCUCUACAUGACUUUCCUGAUGCUGGUGGACCCUCUGAUCCGAAAGCCGGAUGCGUACACAGAACAGCUGCACAAUGAGGAGGAGAACGAGGAUGCUCGCUCUAUGGCGGCUGCCGCGGCCUCCUUCGGGGGACCCCGCGCCAACACGGUCCUGGAACGUGUGGAAGGCGCUCAGCAGCGGUGGAAGCUGCAGGUGCAGGAGCAACGGAAGACGGUCUUCGAUCGGCACAAGAUGCUCAGCUAGAGGGCCCGGCACAGUCGGGCCAAGGACCAGCGGCCACGGCUGGAUAGAGCCAGGGGCCACUCUCCCCUCCUUCGACGCCACCCUUCCUGGGUCUUCCCUUUAAAAGCCUGUGGCGUUUUUUCCUCCUUCUGCCCCUCUUUAGAAACGUUGUUCUCAGCUGAGUUAAUUCCGGAAGCGUGAUGGGGUCCCCGAUCUCUCGUUCGCCUGCUCAGGUCUUGGGGGUUUGUGGGGGGAAGGCAGGCCAAGAGGGGAUGGAGGCGUCCGUCUCAGGCGGCCUCAGGGUUGGAAGGAGCCUCUCUCUCAUUGCUCCACCCUUGCCACCUCUCCGGCUCCAAAUCCCGGGAAGGUUCCAGCCUCUGGAAGGUGGAGCUGGGUCGUCAGGACCUCGGUGUGUGGGAGGAAAGCCUGGCCCCUGCCACCUGUGCUGCUUUCUGCUGUGGUUGUGGUGGCUGCCUUCCUCGCCACCCCGAGACGUCAGCCCCCGAGCACCCAUCCCCUCUUCCUCCUCCCUCCUCUCCUCCCCUGACGCAUGGUGGUGGCCGUGCACCCUGCCUCCUCUCGGCCCGGCCCUCCCGCCCACUCAGGAGGCCAGGCAGGCCCCUUGCCUCCCUGUGUGUGUUGUCACUGAGCCAGACGGGUGGUGGGACCACGCGGCACAAGGCCGGGCGGUGGCUCUGAAUGCCACAGCCUUGGGGCACCACGCAUCCCUGAAUUUCCUUGUAGCGUGCAUGGGCAGACAUGUUUGUCUACCGUUGUCUGUAAGUCAAGGAAGCCAUCAUUAAAUUGUCUUAUUUCUCACUUUCUGGAUUUCAAGAGACUUAGAGAACUGAGUGUCCCACGUGUGGCCUGGUGAGUCCUGUGUCCCAGAGAGGGGACGGAGCGUCAUCUUGGCGGGUCCAGAAGAGAGGCAGACGUGGCAGUCCUGGUGGCCAGGGCAGAGCCCACGGG